rnacentral:rRNA from 1 species
CGCGCAGGCGGAUUGGUAAGUCAGAUGUGAAAUCCCGGGGCUCAACCCCGGAACUGCGUCUGAAACUACUAAUCUAGAAUCUCGGAGGGGGAAGUAGAAUUUCGCAUGUAGGGUAAAAUCCGUAGAGAUGCGAAGGAAUAUCAGAGGCGAAGGCGACUUCCUGGCCGAGUAUUGACGCUGAGGCGCGAAAGCGUGGGGAGCAAACA